rnacentral:rRNA from 1 species
AGGGCAAGUCUGGUGCCAGCAGCCGCGGUAAUUCCAGCUCCAAUAGCGUAUAUUAAAGUUGUUGCAGUUAAAAAGCUCGUAGUUGAAUUUCGGGGUUCUACCGUUGGUCGGGCUUUGUCUGUACUGGCGUGUAGAAUUUCUACCUUCUGGGGAACCACUAUGUUAUUAAUUUAGCGUAGUGGGAAACCAGGACCUUUACCUUGAAAAAAUUAGAGUGUUCAAAGCAGGCUUAUGUCUGAAUACAUUAGCAUGGAAUAAUAGAAUAGGACGGUGGUCCUGUUUUGUUGGUUUCUGAAUCACCGUAAUGAUUAAUAGGGAUAGUUGGGGGCAUUAGUAUUCAAUUGUCAGAGGUGAAAUUCUUGGAUUUAUUGAAGACUAACUUCUGCGAAAGCAUUUGCCAAGGAUGUUUUCAUUAAUCAAGAACGAAAGUUAGGGGAUCGAAGACGAUCAGAUACCGUCGUAGUCUUAACCAUAAACUAUGCCGACUAGGGAUCGGACGAUGUUAAUUUUUCUUGACUCGUUCGGCGCCUUACGGGAA